rfam:Camelus ferus unplaced genomic scaffold scaffold103, whole genome shotgun sequence.
GAAGGUAUAGCCCAGUGGUACAGUGCAUACUUAGCAUGCACAAGGUCCUGGGUUCAAUCCCCAGUGCCUCCA